ACGGGAGGCAGCAGUGGGGGAUAUUGCACAAUGGGGGAAACCCUGAUGCAGCGACGCCGCGUGAGUGAAGAAGUAUUUCGGUAUGUAAAGCUCUAUCAGCAGGGAAGAAAGUGACGGUACCUGACUAAGAAGCCCCGGCUAACUACGUGCCAGCAGCCGCGGUAAUACGUAGGGGGCAAGCGUUAUCCGGAAUGACUGGGCGUAAAGGGUGCGUAGGUGGUUUGGCAAGUUGGUAGCGUAAUUCCGGGGCUUAACUCCGGAACUACUACCAAAACUGUUAGACUUGAGUGCAGGAGGGGUAUGUGGAAUUCCUAGUGUAGCGGUGGAAUGCGUAGAUAUUAGGAGGAACACCAGUGGCGAAGGCGACAUACUGGACUGUAACUGACACUGAGGCACGAAAGCGUGGGGAGCAAACAGGAUUAGAUACCCUGGUA
rnacentral:rRNA from 1 species